UACUGAAAGGCAAAUCUCUGCAGAUACGGAAAAACUCUGCAGAUCUGGAAAAACUCUGGCAUUGGACUGGAAGCUAAGGCAGGAAACACUAUGCUGUGUCCCUCCAGUACACUCCAGCCCUAAGGGAGGUGCUGAUGUCACUCAAAACUCACCGGCCAAUAAGGGCCUUUACGCGGACCUGUCAGUCAAAUUCGGAGGAGAGAUUUUUCCGGGUUGCGAGGUGUAGCUUCUGCUGUGUAGCUGAGCAGGCUUGAAUCUAUCCCUGUGAUCUACUCUGAGUGCUGCUGCUGGGUGCUUUGAGUGGAUUCAGACAAGCUCCGAAGUCGGGACAUGAUAUCCCGGGAACCCUGCCUGAACACUCAAGGAACGUAGUCCUAACCCCAGAAGAAAUGGCAGAUUUCUCAAGGUCCUGCACUCUGGUUGCAGCACUGCUCACAAAGCCUCAGAGAUACAGAAUGUGCUACAGGGAAGUAAUGGACACUGAAUACUGAGUCUAAUCACAAAGCCCAGCAAAAGACCCACCUGAUAAAAGGAACUAGUAAGCAUUGGUCACUAAUAUCUAUCAACAUCAAUGAACUCAACUUUCCAAGAAAAACACACACUGACAGAAUGGUUGUCGAAAUAUGAUCCUGCAUUAUGGUGCCUUCAAGAAACACCUCAGUAACAAAGAUAGAGUAACAAAGAUACCUCAGAGUUAAGGGCUGGAAAAUUUUUUUCCAAGCAAAAGGACACAAGAAGCAAGCUGGAAUAGUCAUCCCAAUAUCUAAUAAAACAGAUUCUCCACCUAAUUGAAUCAAAAUUGAUGGAGAAGGACACUCAUUCUCAUCAAAGGAAAAAUCCAAAAGAGGACAUCACAAUCCUGAGCAUCUAAGCCCCAAAUACAAGGGCACCUGCAUUCAUAAAUAUAUCAUUAUUAAAGCUUAAAUCACACCUUGAUCCCCACACAUUAAUAGUGGGAGACUACAACAUCCCACUCUCACCAAUGGACAGGUUAUAUAUAUAUAUAUAUAUAUAUAUAUAUAUAUAUAUAUAUAUGUAUAUGUAUGUGUGUGUAUAUAUAUAAAACAAUAUACAGCAAUCCUAUAGCCAACAUGAAACUAAACGAAGAGAAACUUAAAUCAAUCCCACUGAAAUCAGGGAAAAGUCAAAGCUGCCCACUCUCUCCAUAUCUCUUCAACAUAGUACUUGAAGUCCUAGCUAGAGCAAUAAGACCACUAAAGGAGAUCAAGGGGAUACAAACUGGAAAGGGGGAAGUCAAAGUAUCACUAUUUGCAGAUGAUAUGAUAGUAUACAUGAAUGACCCCCAAAAUUCAACCAGAGAACUCCUUCAGCUGAUAAACACCUUCAGCAAAGUGGCUGGGUACAAAAUUAACUAAAAAAAAAUCAGUAGCCCUCCUGUGUAUGAAAGACAAAAGGGCUGAGAAAGAAAUUAGGAAAACUACCCCCUUCACUACAGCCACUACUAAUAUAAAGUACCAUGGUGUGACUCUAACCAAGCAAAUGAAAGACCUGUUUGAAAAAAAUCCUCAAGUCUCUGAAAAAAGAAAUUGAAGAAGAUAUCAGAAGAUGGGAAGAUCUCCCAUGCUCAUGGAUCAGUAGGAUUAACAUAGUGAAAAUGGCCAUACUGCCAAAAGCAAUGUGCAGAUUCCAUGCAAGUCCCAUCAAAACACCAACACAAUUCUUUACAGAACUUGAAAGAACAAUUUUCAUUUUCAUAAGGAAAACCAAAACACCCAAAAUUGCUAAAACAAACCUGUACAACAAGAGAUCAUCUGGAGGUAUCUCCAUCUCUGAUCUCAAAUUGUACUACAAAGCCAUAGUAAUAAAAAAAAAAACCUGCAUGGUACAGGCAUAGAAACAGAAUAUUGAAUCAAUGGAAUUGAAGACCCAGAAAUAAACCCACACACAUAUGUAUACUUGAAUUUUGACAAAGAAGCUAAACCCAUACAAUGGAAAAAUACAGCAUCUUCAACAAAUGGUGCUGGUCUAACUGGAUGUCUACAUGCAGAAAAAUGCAAAUAGAUCCAUAUUUAUCACUCUGCACAAAACUAAAGUCCAGGGGCUGGAGAGAUGGCUCAGAUGUUAAGACCACUGGCUAUACGUCCAAAGGUCCUGAGUUCAAUUCUCACCAACCACAUGGUGGCUCACAACCAUCUAUAAAGAGAUUUGAUCUGGUGCCCUCUGCUGGUCUGCAAACACACAUGCAGGCAGAAUACUUUAUAAAUAAAUAAUAUAUUAAAAACCAAAGAUUUCAAAACAAAAACAAAAAACCCAAAGUCCAAGAGGAUCAAAGACCUCAACAUAAAACCAGACACACUAAAUCUGUUAGAAGAAAAAGUGGGGAAGAAUUUUGAACUCAUUGGCACAGGAUACAAAUUAAUGAACAGCACAGCAACAGCUCAGGCUCUAAGAUCUACAAUUAAUGAAUGGGACUUCUUGAAACUGAAAAGUUUUUGAAAAGCAAAUGACCCUAUCAAUAGAAAGAAAUGGCGGUCUACAGAUUGUGAAAAGAUCUUCAUGUGUAUCUGAGGAAGGGCUAAUAUCCCCAGCUUCUUCCCAACCUCUGGUGCUUUUCCCCACCUCCGAUAUUUCCUCCUCUUCCUCUUUUGCUUCUUCAAAACCCUCACCCCCCUCCCCAGCAACAAGCUAUCCUAGUUGUCCUACUUUGGCACCCACUUUCACCCCACCUAUAGUUAUUAGCUCCCCUGCUUCCCAUUGUUACUCUAGAGCAAAGCCUACUACUUAGCCUAAACCAACCUCAAUUCUUCCUUUGUGGGAGGUGGCCGUGUAGAUGGCUUGGUUAGAAUGCAUGUUCCCUUCGCAUUAACUGCACUUUCUCAAGUAGAAAAGAGACUAGGAUCCUAUACCUCUAAUCCUUCCACUUUUAUUAAAGAAUUUCAAUACCUCACUCAACCUUAUAGUCUCACCUUCCACGGUAUAUAUAUGAUUCUUACCAAUAACCUAUUACCUGAGGAGUGCAGGUGAGUUUGGGAUCAGGCUAGAACGCAUGCAGUUGCGGUUCACCAAACAAAUGCAGCACACCUGGUGGCAGCUGAGGUGGUGCCUGACCAGGAUCCACAAUGGGGUUAUAAUACUCCGGAAGGCGUUUUAACCAGAGGUCAGUUCACAACUUGCCUCCUGGAUGGUCUCUGCAAGGCUGUCCUUAAGCCAGUUAAUUAUGAAAAUCUCCAGGAGGUUGUUCAGGGCUGGAAGGAAAACCCGUCUCAAUUCCCAGAGUGCCUUACAAAGGCCUUCUUACAACAUACUAAUCUAGACACCGAAAGUACAGAGGGUAGGCAACUUCUGAUGACCUAUUUUUUUCUCCCAGAGUUACCCCAACAUCAGGGCUAAGCUUAAAUGCUUGGAGAGAGGACCUCUGACUCACAGGCAGAAGUCUUUGUGCUGGCCUUUAAAGUGUAUAUGGGAGAAAUGAAAAAGCCCGCAAGCAAAAAUACCAAAUGUUGGCCAAGGCCAUGCGACAAGCCUUAGCCACCACCCAGAAUCUCUUGCAUCCUAAGGCAUGAGGACCACAGGGUCCUUGUUUUGAAUAUGGUCAACAAGGUCACUGGGCCUGGUUUUAUCCUAACCCCUGCAAGCCACAGGGGCCAUGUCCAAAAUGCCACCAAGGACAGAUUGACUCACCCUGUUUAAUUAACUUCCUCUCUACAUUCCUCCAACAACGAAUGAAAAAUUUCUCUACCAAACCAUUAAUUAGUUUCUCUUACUGGGUUUUCAACCUCUGCCCACAGAACCAAAUGAUAAUGACCUUCCAAUUGACCCUGAUGGUGGGGAUCAUCUAUACACUGAGAAUAACAAUGUCCCUACUCAGCAGGAAGUAGCUUGAAGAGCAAAGAUCAUCUUUAUGCCCUCCACACCAUCACCCCUUCCUAGCUCCUCACUUUUUAAUAAAACAAAAUGAGAGGGAGGUUGGAAUCCAUAAGCAGGCAUCUCUACAGCCAGCCCCAAGAGAACUGAAGCGCUGGUUAUCAGGCAUCUGUGAGGCCACCUAUGCACCACCUGGGGACCACCUGAAACCACCUGCACAUGCUCUGGGUCGCCUUAUAAGAGAACCUGAAACCCCUCUUUUCUCUCUCUCUCUCUCUCACCUGCCCUGCCCGGUGACGGCCUCUGUGACCCCUUCCUCUUCUCUUAAUAAACCUCCCAUGUGGGGACCAGUCCUUUGGUGUGAUCUGUGAACCUGCUGUGUAACCCUGUUGCACAAUCCUGGCAGUCUCAUAUCUACUAGGUGAAAAGUAGCUACAGUUUUCAUGAAGCCACAAAACAAAUUCUUGUUUCCAAAAUUUAUUCUUUAACUGUUAAUAUUCUGGGCAUCCUUCUACUUUGUGGGACAGACUGAUAACUUCACGGCAAGGUGAGAAAUGGACGAUGCAAGUUAUCCACGUUGAUUCCAAGAGGAAGGAGUUUUUCCUGGGUGCUUCCAGGAGGAAGCUUAGGUCGGCUCCAAACUAGGGACAAGGUGAACAGCAAAGAGGAGGAGCAGGAGGUUCUGCUGUGGGAACUGGAGUGGUGGGUCCUCCUCGGGGGUUGCGGCUGAGGGUAGAGGGAGAUGGCUAGGAGACUGGAGGACUGCUGCUGGGUGCUGUGGUGGGAGCUCAGGCAAACUUCAUGUCGUAGUUACUCGGCCCAGAGCAGGGAGGAGCAGACUGCUGAUCAGCAGGAGCUGCAGUGCUGAGUGCUUCCCCGGCUAGGAGGGAAGACAGGCGGGUGGGCUAUUGUAGGACAAGGCACAAGUGCUACUGAAAGGCAAAUCUCUGCAGAUCCAGAAAAUCUCUGCAGAUCUGGCCCUGGACUGGAACUUAGGGCCAGGAAACACUAUGCUGUGUCCCUCCAGUACACUCCAACCCUCAGGGAGGUGCUCAUGUCACUCAAAACUCACUGGCCAAUCAGGGCCUUUAGUCUGACCUGCUAAUGAAAACAGGAGGGUUUUCCGAAUGGCCAGCUGCAGCUUCUGCUGUGUAGCUGAGCAGGCUUGAAUCUAUCCCUGUGAUGUACUCUGAGUGCUGCUGCUGGGUGCUUUGAGUGGACUCAGACAAGCUCCGAAGUCGGGACAUGGAUUCAGUGACCUAUGAUGAUGUGAAUGUCAUCUUCACUCGGGAAGAGUGGGCUUUGCUGGAUCCUUCCCAGAAGAGUCUCUAUGAAGAUGUGAUGCUGGAGACCUACAAGAACCUCACUGCUAUUGGUUCCUGUACUCCUCCCAAACACUGGCUAUGAGUCUCAGCAUCUGCUUCAAUAUGGUGAUGGGUAGAAUCUUUUGGAGACCCUCUGUGGCUACAAUUGGGAAGAGCAAACUACUGAAGAGCAUCAUCAAUAUUCUAGAAGAUAUGGAAGGCAUGAAAGAAGUCAUAGUGGAGAGAAACUGUAUGAACGUAUUCAAUAUGGUGAAGCCUAUGCACAUCACAGUAGUCUCCAAAUACAGACAAGAACAUAUACUGGAGAAAAACCCUAUGCGUAUAACCAAUGUG